GGUCCGUACUGGCCUAUACUGGUCCGUACUGGUUCUCACAGUCCAUACCAGUCUGUUCUGGUCCAUAUGGGUCUGUACUGGUCCAUACUGGCCCAUACUGGUCCGUACUGGCCCAUAUGGGGGUCCUUACUGGUCCGUACCAGUCCAUCCUGCUUCAUAGUGGUCCAUACUGCCCAUACUGGUCCAUACUGCCCAUACUGGCCCAUACUGGACCUCACUGGUCCAUACUGGUCCUUACUGGUUCUCACUGGUCCGUACUGGUUCAUACUGGUCCUUACUGGUCCGUACUGGUUUAUACUGGGCAGCAGAGGUGCGCGAGUGUGUGAACUGUGGUGCGAUGGCGAUGCCGCUGUGGCGCCGGGUCUGUACUGGUCCAUACUGGUCCUUACUGGUCCUUACUGGUUCUCACUGGUCUGUACUGUCCCAUACUGGUCCUUAUUGGUCCGUACUGGUCCGUACUGGUCUGUAUGGGUCUGUACUGUCCCAUACUGGUUCUCACUGGUCUAUACUGGUCUGUACUGUCCCAUACUGGUCCGUACUGGUCCAUACUGGUCUGUACUGUCCCAUACUGGCUCAUACUGGUCUGUACUGGUCUGUACUGUCCCAUACUGGUUCUCACUGGUCCAUACUGGUCUGUACUGGUCUGAACUGUCCCAUACUGGUCCGUACUGGUUCUCACUGGUCUGUACUGGCCCAUACUGGUCUGUAUGGGUCUGUACUGUCCCAUACUGGUUCUCACUGGUCCAUACUGGUCUGUAUGGGUCUGUACUGGUCCAUACUGGUCCGUACUGGUCCGUACUGGUCCUUACUGGUCCUUACUGGUCUGUACUGGUCUGUAUGGGUCUGUACUGUCCCAUACUGGUCCGUACUGGUUCUCACUGGUCUGUACUGGCCCAUACUGGUCUGUACUGGUCUGCAUGGGUCUGUACUGUCCCAUACUGGUUCUCACUGGUCCAUACUGGUCCAUACUGGUCUGUAUGGGUCCGUACUGUCCCAUACUGGUCCAUACCGGUCCUUACUGGUCCGUACUGGUCUGUAUGGGUCUGUACUGUCCCAUACUGGUUCUCACUGGU
rnacentral:lncRNA from 1 species